rnacentral:ribozyme from 1 species
GCUGCUCGAAACUUUGCACACCUCUUCGUGGUGAGCAGCAGGCAACGCAGUAUGGAUUACUGUGGCUAAGAAUGCAGAG